rnacentral:rRNA from 1 species
UACGGAAGGCAGCAGUGGGGAAUAUUGCACAAUGGGCGCAAGCCUGAUGCAGCCAUGCCGCGUGUAUGAAGAAGGCCUUCGGGUUGUAAAGUACUUUCAGUCGUGAGGAAGGUGUUAAGGUUAAUAACCUUAGCAAUUGACGUUAGCGACAGAAGAAGCACCGGCUAACUCCGUGCCAGCAGCCGCGGUAAUACGGAGGGUGCGAGCGUUAAUCGGAAUUACUGGGCUAAAGGGCACGCAGGCGGUUAAUAAGUUGGAUGUGAAAUCCCCGGGCUUAACCUGGGAAUGGCAUUCAAGACUGGUUAGCUAGAGUCUUGUAGAGGGGGUGAAAUUCCAUGUGUAGCGGUGAAAUGCGUAGAGAUGUGGAGGAAUACCGGUGGCGAAGGCGGCCCCUGGACAAAGGACUGACGCUCAUGUGCGAAAGCGUGGGGAGCGAAACAGGGAUUAGAUACC